ACAGUGGUGGUUCAGUGGUGGAAUUCUCGCCUUCGGUGUGGGCGACCCGGGUUUGAUUCCCAGCCGCUGCA
rnacentral:tRNA from 1 species